rnacentral:lncRNA from 1 species
AUGAGCACACCCAACGCUAGACGGGUUGCCAACCCCAAGCAGGCCAGGCUCUCGAGAGGCUUCCCUGGUCCGGGGGGAGGGGGUGACGGCCGGGUAGUACAGGACCUCAGUUUGCUCCUCUAUAAAGGGCCCCGAGGCGAGGGGCCACGGAUGGCUUGCGCGGCCUUCAAGGCUCUCCCCAGCACCAGGCUCCUCCGCCCUGCCCCCUCCAAGGAUCACCCACCUUGUUCCUCCCCAAGAGCGGUCACUCGCACGCCCGCUCUGCUCCAGCCUCACCCCCCAGCCCCAGGGGGGGUGCCGUGCUCCGUGCCCUCCAUCCGCCGAGCGGCUACCCGCGGCAGCCCUCGCGGACCCCGCGACGCUCCCUCCGCCUGCGAGCCAAAGCGCGUCCGCCGAGCUGCCCCAACUGCGCCGCCGACUGGCCGAGGCAGCGACUGCGCCGAUUCCGCGGCGCAACCACCCGGCCGUACGGCGGACCCGGCCCUACGCCAACUCCGCAGCGAAGCACCGCGCUGCACGGCGAGCCCGGGCCUACGCCAACUCCGCAGAGGGUCCUCCAUGCUGGGCCUGCGCCGCGCUGACUUCCCGGCCGACCCGCCGCCCGGGGGCGACCGAGCGGCGUCCCCGAGAAAAGUCACGCCAACUCCUGCGCAGAAUCGCCGCUCAGGCUGCCCCGCCCCCUCGCCGGCCCCUAACAGCCCCCGUAGUCUUCAGUUUUCUCAUGACAGAUUCCACACAGCGCCUAGUUCCCCUUUUCUUUCCCUUGACCCUCGCCUCUCCGUCUUCUGCCCCCUUCUAAGUUUGACCACUGGCCACGGGAGACUUGUACCGAAGGCAGAUGGAAGUUCAGGGGGAUCCUGGGCCGCGAAAGGACGAAUGGAGGCUGGGGAGCCGGAAGUGAAAGUGCGAUUGCGGAUGGCUCCCGGGCUUUUCCUGAGCCUUCCCCUCCCCCCUCCUCCAGCGAAGCGGAUGAAAACAAACAGCAGCGAUGGCGGCACCAGGAGCCGGGAGGCCGCUGGGUCGGAGCCGGAGCCGGAGCAGCGCGUGACGAGCCCGGACCGGGAGGCGGUGGAACCCGCAGCGCGGAGGGGGAGCACGGGCGGCCGGCCUUGA